AAACACACUAUCAAUGUUCUCCUUAGGUUCACCAGAAGUCAAAGCAUGGCACAUCCCUGGGUACAACUUUAGUGUCUUAUCCUUGCUCUCCGCUAAUGUAUAUAGUGCCUCACUUACAGAUGGGUCAGUCACAGCAUCACCACCACCGUGGACUAUGAUGAACGGUAGAGUAACCUAUUUUUGAACAAUUACAAGAAUAAUAGAAUAGUAAUGCACCAUAUAAUUAAUAAAAAGUAGUUUUAUUAGCUGAUGGAUGCUAAUUUAUUAACAUGGUCAGGGGCGGAUCCAGGGCCCGGGCUGCCCGGGCUGCAGCCCGGGGCGAGACCAUGGAGUCCCUUUAACCUAUGUGCUGUUUAGCCUAACAAAAUGAGGCUUAGGAGACAAAAUUAGACUAUUUUAGGUGUGAUUCAACAGCUCAGCCCGGGGCGCAGCCCCGUUCUGGAUCCGCCCCUGAACAUGGUGACAGAUCAGUUGUGCGAACAUAUAUGAUUUUUAUACUUCGAAAAAACUUCUGUUAAUAUUGCAUACUUUGCAUUGCAUUACAUUUCCACGUAAAAUUAGUAUGCACAAAUUAUGAUUAUUGAGCUAAAUGAAGUACCUUUACGUAGCCCACAUAUGAGUUAACUACCUGAUUUGGUAAAAAAAAAAGGUGUUUUGUAUGACAUUUAUGGUAUCCAGAACACAAUUAAUCUCAGUGAUCAUGAAAAAAGUAUGUUUGGGAAAAUGUAUUCAUGUCAUUUCAAAUGUACAACACUAGUAUGAACAAAAUGGUUAGUGCUCAAUUUUUUUAGGCUUGCUACACCUUGUGCUCGAAUGUCAUUUUUUUGGUCAUAGGAGUAUAAUCAUUCUAAAAUAAAUGAUCCAGUUUGGUACACACAAAAAUAAAGUGAAGAACCUAGGGAAAGUAAUAUUUUGAUAAAAAGUUCCAUUCCAAGCCUUGCUCAUACCUU
rnacentral:lncRNA from 1 species